GACGAACGCUGGCGGCAGGCCUAACACAUGCAAGUCGAGCGGAGCGGCGGACGGGUGAGUAAUACGUGGGUAACCUGCCUUUCACAGGGGAAUAACACUGGGAAACCAGUGCUAAUACCGCAUAGUGAAAGAUGGCCUCGCGCCUGAUUAGCUAGUAGGUGAGGUAACGGCUCACCUAGGUGAUGAUCAGUAGCCGGACUGAAGGUUGAUCGGCCGCAUUGGGACUGAGACACGGCCCAGACUCCUACGGGAGGGAGCAGUGGGGAAUAUUGGGCAAUGGCGCAAGCCUGACCCAGCAACGCCGCGUGAAGGAAGACGGUCUUCGGAUUGUAAACUUCUUUAGACAGGGACGCGGUACCUGUAGAAUAAGCCACGGCUAACUACGUGCCAGCCGCCGCGGUAAUUC
rnacentral:rRNA from 1 species